GGUGUUCGGGUUGUCAUGCCAAUGGCACUGCCCGGUAGCUAAAUGCGGAAGAGAUAAGUGCUGAAAGCAUCUAAGCACGAAACUUGCCCCGAGAUGAGUUCUCCCUGAGACUUAGAGUCUCCUGAAGGAACGUUGAAGACGACGACGUUGAUAGGCCGGGUGUGUAAGCGCAGCGAUGCGUUGAGCUAACCGGUACUAAUGAACCGUGAGGCUUAACCUUACAACGCCGAAG
rnacentral:rRNA from 3 species